AAUUAAUUAUCUCAGCCGGUAGCGCAUGAGACUCUUAAUCACAGGGUCGUGGGUUUGAGCCCCACGCUGGGCA